UACUAGAGUAGCACUCGCAUAUCAAUAAGCGGAGGAAAAGAAACUAACAAGGAUUCCCCUAGUAACGGCGAGUGAAGCGGGAAGAGCUCAAAUUUGAAAUCUUAAAGGGUUUCCCUUUACGAAUUGUAGUUUAAAGAAGUGUUUUCUGUUGAGGUUUUGGUAAAAGUUCUUUGGAAUAGGACAUCAUAGAGGGUGAGAAUCCCGUAUUUGACCUUUACUUUCAACUUUGUGAUACACUUUCAAAGAGUCGGAUUGUUUGGGAAUGCAGUCCAAAAUGGGUGGUAAAUUUCAUCUAAAGCUAAAUAUUGGCGAGAGACCGAUAGCGAACAAGUACCGUGAGGGAAAGAUGAAAAGAACUUUGAAAAGAGAGUUAAACAGUACGUGAAAUCGUCAAAAGGGAAGCGUUUGACACCAGUGUUGUUUUCCUGAAAAUCAAUUAAAGAACUGUUUAUGCUAAGCUGUUUAGACUUUAUCAGCUAAUCUGUUUAGUUUUGAGCUUUUCUUUAAUGCACUUUUCAGUUAACAAGUCAACAUCAAUUUCUUUUGCUGUAAAAAAGCUUGAGGAAGGUGGCUUGAGAUUCGUCUUAAGUGUUUAUAGCCUCUUGCCUAUGCAGUCGGAGAGAUUGAGGUCUGCAGCGUAGAUCCUUCGGGGCUAAAUGCAUUUGUGCUAAGUUAUAGCAUUUUAUAGACAACUUGUUGACUAUGAUUUGUCUUGUAGCUUACUCGCUUAUGUUAUUUUACCUACGCUUAGGAUGUUGAGCGCAUGUCUCUCUCU
rnacentral:rRNA from 1 species